rnacentral:rRNA from 1 species
AGUGAACGCUGGCGGUAGGCCUAACACAUGCCAGUCGAACGGCAGCACAGUAAGAGCUUGCUCUUACGGGUGGCGAGUGGCGGACGGGUGCGGAAUACAUCGGAAUCUACUUUUUCGUGGGGGAUAACGUAGGGAAACUUACGCUAAUACCGCAUACGACCUACGGGUGAAAGCAGGGGAUCUUCGGACCUUGCGCGAUUGAAUGAGCCGAUGUCGGAUUAGCUAGUUGGCGGGGUAAAGGCCCACCAAGGCGACGAUCCGUAGCUGGUCUGAGAGGAUGAUCAGCCACACUGGAACUGAGACACGGUCCAGACUCCUACGGGAGGCAGCAGUGGGGAAUAUUGGACAAUGGGCGCAAGCCUGAUCCAGCCAUACCGCGUGGGUGAAGAAGGCCUUCGGGUUGUAAAGCCCUUUUGUUGGGAAAGAAAAGCAGCAGGUUAAUACCCCGCUGUUCUGACGGUACCCAAAGAGUAAGCACCGGCUAACUUCGUG